rnacentral:rRNA from 1 species
GGCUGUUUGGAAGGGCGUAUGGUGGAUGCCUUGGCAGACAGUACCGAUGAAGGACGCUACAGGCAGCGAUAUGCCUCGGGGAGCCGCCAGGUGGGCUUUGAUCCGAGGGUUUCCGAAUGGGGCAACCCGGCACCCGUCAUGGGGUGUCACCGGCUUGUGUCCGGGGGGUACGCAGGGAAGUGAAACAUCUCAGUACCUGCAGGAAAGGAUGUUCCGUGAGUAGUGGCGAGCGAAAGCGGAUGAGGCCAAACCGCAUGCGUGUGAUAGGCGUCGGGCCGUUGCGUGUGUGGUGUCGUGGGAAUUCGUGGCCGGCCGCCCGAUGGGGCCGGCGGCAGUGAUAAAGACGCGUGCGAGGCGAACCGGAUUGGAUGCCGGGCCGUGGAGGGUGAUGGCCCCGUAGCCGUAUGCGCGUGUCCUGCCGAUCGUUUCUCCCAAGUAGCGCGGGACUCGUGGAAUCCCGUGUGAAUCCGCCCCGACCGUGGGGUAAGCCUAGAUAUACCUGUCUGACCGAUAGUGCACUAGUACCGUGAGGGAAAGGUGAAAAGCACCCCGGGAGGGGAGUGAAACAGUCUCUGAAACCGUGCGCCUACGAACCGUCGGAGCCCUGUGGGGUGACGGCGUGCCUAUCGAAAAAUGAGUCUGCGAGUCAGUGGCAUGUGGCGAGCGUAACCCGUGUGGGGUACGCGUAGCGAAGGCGAGUCCUAACAGGGCGUUUUGAGUCGCGUGUCCUGGACCCGAAGCGGGAUGAUCUAGCCCUGGGCAGGUUGAAGCGCGGGUAAGACCGCGUGGAGGACCGAACCCACCUGGGUUGAAAACCGGGGGGAUGACCUGGGGCUAGGGGUGAAAGGCCAAUCAAAUUCCGUGAUAGCUGGUUCUCUCCGAAAUGCAUUUGGGUGCAGCGUCGGGGGGUGCCUGCGGGGGGUAGAGCUACUGGAUGCUUGAGGGCCCGUUACGGGUACCGACAGCAGCCAAACUCCGAAUACCCGUCAGGUUGACCCCGGCAGUGAGUCGGCGGGGGAUAAGCUCCGUCGUCGAGAGGGAGACAGCCCAGACCGUCGUCUAAGGUCCCCAAGCGCGUGCUAAGUGGGAAAGGAUGUGGAGUCGCAUAGACAGCCAGGAGGUUGGCUCAGAAGCAGCCAUCCUUGAAAGAGUGCGUAACAGCUCACUGGUCUAGUGGUUCCGCGCCGACAAUGUAGCGGGGCUCAAGCACGCCACCGAAGACGCGGCAGCCGUUUUUGCGGCUGGGUAGGAGAGCGUCCCCAUCGGGUCGAAGCGGGGGUGGAAACGUCCGUGGACUGGUGGGGAGUGAGAAUGCAGACAUGAGUAGCGAGAGCGGGGUGCGAAUCCCCGCCGCUGGAUGACCAAGGGUUCCGGGGCCACGCUCGUCGUCCCCGGGUGAGUCGGGUCCUAAGGCGAGGCCGACAGGCGUAGUCGAAUGGAUGAACGGGUGGAUAUUCCCGUACCGGCUUUCAGCCGAUCAGACCCGAAAGGCCUGUGCUAACCUCCAUGCGUUCCUGAUCCAUCCUUCGGGGUGGUGAUGGUUCGUGUGUUGGGAUCCCGGGUCCGGUAGGGUAGCGCGUGGAGUGACGCAGAGGGGUAGCCGGCCGCGGAGGUGGUUUUCCGUGGUCAAGCGUUCGAGCCCGUCCCGCAGGCAAAUCCGCGGGGCAUGGGGGUGAGGCGUGAUGAUGGGGCCCGUAAGGGGCCGAAUCCGGUGAUCCCGGCUGCCGAGAAAAGCUUCGGCGCGAGGCUGUUGGCCGCCCGUACCCCAAACCGACACCGGUGGUCAGGUAGAGAAUACCAAGGCGAUCGAGCGAAUCCUGGUCAAGGAACUCGGCAAAUUGCUCCCGUGCCUUCGGCAUAAGGGAGACCCCCGAUGGUGCAUAGCUGUUGGGGGUGGCACAGGCCAGGGGGUAGCGACUGUUUACCAAAAACACAGGAGCGUGCGAAGGCGCAAGCCGCUGUAUACGCUCUGACGCCUGCCCGGUGCCGGAAGGUUAAGAGGAUCCGUCAGCCCCUUGGGGUGAAGCGGUGAAUUCAAGCCCCGGUAAACGGCGGUGGUAACUAUAACCAUCCUAAGGUAGCGAAAUUCCUUGUCGGGUAAGUUCCGACCUGCACGAAUGGCGUAACGACUUCCCCACUGUCUCGACCAGGAGCUCGGCGAAAUUGCAGUACGAGUAAAGAUGCUCGUUAAGCGCAGAAGGACGAAAAGACCCCGGGACCUUUACUAUACCUUGGUAUUGGCAUUAGGCGCGGAUUGUGUAGCAUAGGCGGGAGACCCUGAAGCCGCGGCGCCAGCCGUGGUGGAGUCGCAAGGUGAAAUACCGCUCUGUUCUCGUUUGAUGUCUAACCGCGAGCAGUGAUCCUGCUCCGGGACAGUGCCUGGCGGGUAGUUCAACUGGGGCGGUUGCCUCCCAAAGAGUAACGGAGGCGCUCAAAGGUCCGCUCGGCCCGGUUGGCAAUCGGGUGUCGAGUGUAAUCGCACAAGCGGGCUUGACUGCGAGAUCGACGGAUCGAGCAGGGACGAAAGUCGGAGAUAGUGAUCCGGUGCCGGCGCACGGGCGCGGCAUCGCUCAACGGAUAAAAGGUACCCCGGGGAUAACAGGCUGAUCAUUCCCAAGAGUCCAUAUCGACGGGAUGGUUUGGCACCUCGAUGUCGGCUCGUCGCAUCCUGGGGCUGGAGCAGGUCCCAAGGGUUCGGCUGUUCGCCGAUCAAAGCGGCACGCGAGCUGGGUUCAGAACGUCGUGAGACAGUUUGGUCUCUAUCCUCUGCGCUCGUUGGAAUCCUGAGGAGCCCUGCCCAUAGUACGAGAGGACCUGGGUGGACGAACCUCUGGUAUGCCAGUUAUCCUGCCAAGGGUACGGCUGGUUGGCUACGUUCGGAAGGGAUAACCGCUGAAAGCAUCUAAGCGGGAAGCCUUCUCCAAGAUAAGGAUUCCUUACAGGCUUGUCCUGUUGUAGACCCCAUGCAGAACACGUGGUCGAUAGGCCGGAGGUGGAAGCCCCGCGAGGGGUGGAGCCGACCGGUACUAAUGGUCGAAAAGCAAUCACAC